UCUAGUCCGCGCAAAAAGAAAAACAAAUUUUCACAUCCCAUCUCUCCAUCCCCCAAUUCCUCUUUCAGCCGAGAUCCAUGGGCCAUGACUCUGCCGCCACGACCUCCGGUUCGGCCUAGCUCUAGUGCUCUCCCACGCCCUUGCUCGCUGGCCCUAGCUCCCCCCCUGAGUACUAUCCUCUGAUCUUCCGCCGCCGUGACAUGACAUCCUCCGGGCCCUUGCACGUGCCCCUGGAGCAACCCUAGUCUCAACGGGUCACCGCUGCAGCUCCCUGCUCCUCCGGUUCGUCAACUCAUUAACCCCUGCAUCUCCACACGCAUGGGUGCUGCCCCUGGCUCGACGGUGCUGCUCCGCGUGGCUAACUCCACUCCAACAACAAUGGUUUAGUAAGGCACUCCUCUCCUCUGCUCUUAUCUUAUCCUCUCUGGUCAUGUCUCAUGUGUGUCAUGUCUACCUAGGGUUUGCCGUCGUGGCGUCGUAGAUCACGGCUGGAUACAACAAAAAUCGCGACCACUCUCUACGGGGAGGCUGCCAUGGUCGCCUACGGCUUACCCCACCGUUCAGGCGCUCACCUAGAUUCAUGUCCCUCAACGACGUGGUUGUCCCCUUAUCCUCAAUGAUCCAUUCCCCCCUAAUUAACAACAUGGCGGCUUCUAUAAUUCUAUUGGCAUGUGGUGCCCCAACUUCUCUAAACUUCCACUUGUGCAAUGGGAGGACCAAUUAGGUACGAGAUUGGCCAACAUGUUUGUCCCCUUCCAAUUCAAUUGGUCAAUGAAUGUUGGUACUACUGUACUUAAGUUAUGGCUAGGGAUCCUCUUUUUUGUUGGAGGAAACUUGAUCCUCUAAUUUUGUUAUGCAUGUUUUUGCUGGUGAUCCCCUGCUUUAGUUGUGCAGGCCAUAAUUGUGUGUUGAACUAUCUGUAUGUAUUUAUUUACAUGACUAUCACACUCUAGAGUGCUGAUUAGUGCCACAUUAUACUGCAGAACAAAAUAAUUAUUUUACCUUGGAUGAUCAUUCACCAGUCUUGUUUCCACAUCAAUGGCUGCAUCUUUCGAGACUUAUCAGGAGUGAGUCUAGUUUUCCGUCGAAACAAGGGUGAGUGCGCAUUAUUUAUUCACUCCUUUUACAAAAGCUUCUGUUGUCAAGGAGGAGAUAUUCGGUAAUAAGGAGAGGUUAUAUGAAUCAUAGUCUAAACAUCCCGGACUUGCCAGCAUACGAAGGUAUGUGGGUAAAAAAAUUGUUUCGUUUGAACAUUUUUGUUUAGUUUCAGUUAAUUCUAAAUACUGAAAUCUUUGUACUUAUGUUCAAGUUAUGAUGAAUUGCAAUCAUUUUUAGACCAGAAAGAUGCAUCACAACAAAGCCGCUUCGCACAAUGCUGUACUACAUCUUUUAUUCUCACUAGUAUGUGAAUUUUAAGUUUUUACUUAAUUAUUGAACUAUGGUCUUGCAGGUUAAUAUAAAGAUACAAAAGCUACUUGAGGUAAUCAUAUUUUCGAAUUUUAUGAGUUCUGGGAAGAUAAAUAGGACCAACGAUGAUGAGAGCACGUCAAUGACAUCACAUAGGUGUGGUAUUCAUCAAUCCCUUCUUUCUUUCUGUCUGUGCGUUUCAUGUGUAUACAAAUUCAUCUUUAUAUGCCAUAUUAAUUUUUCAUUUAGAUUCAGGAUGCAGGACGUUUCCCCAUCCGCCCGCAACCAAAAUGGUAGGAUUCGCACCACCCCGUCUCCGUAAGUUUUAACUGCCUGCUACAGUUGGCGGGCACAUGCGGACUUCCAUGUCUCUGUUUAGCUGAUGUUCGUAGUGCUAAGUACAGUACGCUAGUUUGCAAGUUGGCUGCUAUACAGUAUACACAUUCAUAUGUCACUGUCUACAUUCAGAUUUCUAGUUUGUAAACUACACGCUCAUGUAGACAAUCAGCUAUGUAGACAUAAAAUAUGCUAAUGCCAACACAUUCAGAUUAUGUAUAUAUAUAAUUUUCGUAUGCUGAAUCCGCAGUUAUAAUAUCUUUGUACAGAAUAUAAUAGCUUGUACUGAGUUAAUGCAGUAUACUAUGCGCAUGCACUAUUCCUUCAAUAGUAAGAGUAAUACUGCAAAUCUUCCGGUUCCAUAAAGAAUUCAUAGUAAUGGUAAUAAAGAAGGGGCCUGAUGCUCCUUCAAGAAUUCUGAUUAAGUAAAGUACAGUACCAACUUCAACAUUUCAGCAUAAUAAGCACAUGAGGCGAGCCAUGAAAAAUCGGAAAUUUCCAUUUUGGCAUCCUCUUUCCUUGAUAGAUCUUCCUCACUACUUAUUGGUUCUGCACACAAGGAAAUUAUUUCAGACCAAAGCAUCAUUUCAAGCAAGAAUGCAUUUCCAAUUAUAGAUCAAUAAAAAAUGGUUUAACAGAUAAUGAUGAGGAGUUCGCGAGGAAAAUUAGUAAUGAAGUCUUCUGACAAGCCAAGAACAAUGUGCUAGGAACUUAUAUUAGCGAUCAUGUGCCAGUACUUAGAAUCUGAAGUAGUUGUUUGAUAUCUGCUGGCAUUAGUAGAAGUAAAUUUGAAUUAUUCUCACUAAAAUUGCCCGAGAUGACAUCUUUUCUUCGCUGAUGGUGUGGCGUGCAUACCAGUUCUAUUGAGAAACUGUUAGUAGAAGCACUUGACUAGAUUCGAAUGAUCUAAGUACAACAAGCAGCCACUUACUACUAGCAGCUAUAGUUUCUCUGAGCACACACUGCUCAUUACAACAACUAACUAAGAUUAAAGUUUCCUUUGCUUGUUUUCAGGUGCAGAACCCACGUGUUUAGAGUUCAAACAUAUUCUUACAACAUGUAGCAGUAGUCCUUCCAUGUUGCUGAUAAACCACUCAUCCAAUUUUAUAUCCGCUCAUGUGAUAGCUUUAUUAUUUCCUCCACAUUUAGCACAAUCUGUUCACCCAUUACAAUCGAUGUUAUUAAUUGAAUAUGUUGACGUGCAUUUCACUGUACCAAAUUUACAGGAUUAUAGCCAGAAUUAGUUUUUUUACCUACAUGCUUUUCUUUGCUUAUAUUGUCUGAACCUAAAUUUGUACAUGACUCCAAAGGGAUCACCUCGAAAUAAGAAGGAAAUUCUUGUUUAUAACUUGCACUUUAAAUUCGUCCAGAACUUAUUUAUUAUCCAAAGUAGUAAUACUAAUUGUUUCUAUUUUCUUCAUUGCUAGCAGUAUAGCGGCAACUAGCAGGAACUAUCUUCAGGAUAUGGAGCUAUGGAUGCCAUGAGACACUGAUCAUUUGCGUUUAGUUGAUGAAGAUUGAACAUGUCAGUCUAGAUGCUCCUGUGCUGAGCUUAGGUUUUGUUUUAUGCAAUGAAGCUUUGAUCCAUUUCUAGGUACAGUGCACAUGUUCUUGCUAUACACAUGUGUACAAGCUGAAUGUAAUACUUAGAACAAAGCAUAUCUAUAUACAAUAUCAUGUACUUUGGAUGGUGUUCUUUGUAAAGCAACAUUGUUGAUUUAAUAUAUGAGGUCUUUCUUACUA
rnacentral:lncRNA from 1 species